rnacentral:rRNA from 1 species
AUUGAACGCUGGCGGCAUGCCCUACACAUGCAAGUCGAACGGCAGCACGGGGGCAACCCUGGUGGCGAGUGGCGAACGGGUGAGUAAUGCAUCGGAACGUGUCCUCUUGUGGGGGAUAACCAGUCGAAAGAUUGGCUAACACCGCAUGAGAUCGAGAGAUGAAAGCGGGGGACCCGAGGGUAACUUCGGGCCUCGCGCGAGAGGAGCGGCCGAUGCCGGAUUAGCUAGUUGGUGGGGUAAGAGCCUACCAAGGCGACGAUCCGUAGCUGGUCUGAGAGGACGACCAGCCACACUGGGACUGAGACACGGCCCAGACUCCUACGGGAGGCAGCAGUGGGGAAUUUUGGACAAUGGGCGCAAGCCUGAUCCAGCCAUGCCGCGUGUGUGAAGAAGGCC